UUACAGCCAUAUCACAUUGAAACAACAGGUCUUGUAUGAUCACUGAAGUUAAGCAAUGUUGAGCAUGGUCAGUACCUAGAUAGGUGUCUGCUUGGGAAUGCCAGGUGCU